rnacentral:rRNA from 1 species
GACGAACGCUGGCGGCGUGCCUAAUACAUGCAAGUGGGACGCAAGGAAACACACUGUGCUUGCACACCGUGUUUUCUUGAGUCGCGAACGGGUGAGUAACGCGUAGGUAACCUGCCUAUUAGCGGGGGAUAACUAUUGGAAACGAUAGCUAAUACCGCAUAAUAUUAAUUAUUGCAUGAUAAUUGAUUGAAAGAUGCAAGCGCAUCACUAGUAGAUGGACCUGCGUUGUAUUAGCUAGUUGGUAAGGUAAGAGCUUACCAAGGCGACGAUACAUAGCCGACCUGAGAGGGUGAUCGGCCACACUGGGACUGAGACACGGCCCAGACUCCUACGGGAGGCAGCAGUAGGGAAUCUUCGGCAAUGGACGAAAGUCUGACCGAGCAACGCCGCGUGAGUGAAGAAGGUUUUCGGAUCGUAAAGCUCUGUUGUAAGUCAAGAACGUGUGUGAGAGUGGAAAGUUCACACAGUGACGGAGCUACCAGAAAGGACGC